AACGAACGCUGGCGGCAGGCCUAACACUUGCAAGUCGAGCGAAGCCUUCGGGCUUAGCGGCGGACGGGUGAGUAACGCGUGGGAACGUGCCCUUUGGUACGGAAUAGCCCCGGGAAACUGGGAGUAAUACCGUAUGUGGUCGAGAGACGAAAGAUUUAUCGCCAAAGGAUCGGCCCGCGUUGGAUUAGGUAGUUGGUGGGGUAAUGGCCUACCAAGCCGACGAUCCAUAGCUGGUUUGAGAGGAUGAUCAGCCACACUGGGACUGAGACACGGCCCAGACUCCUACGGGAGGCAGCAGUGGGGAAUCUUAGACAAUGGGGGAAACCCUGAUCUAGCCAUGCCGCGUGAUCGAUGAAGGCCUUAGGGUUGUAAAGAUCUUUCAGUGGGGAAGAUAAUGACUGUACCCACAGAAGAAGCCCCGGCUAACUCCGUGCCAGCAGCCGCCGUAAAAC
rnacentral:rRNA from 1 species